UUUUAUAUUUUUUAAGACUAAUCCAUUUUUAUUACGACUGUUCUAUUUUUUACAACGUAAUUUAUCAACAAUUAUUUAAAUUAUAUAAUUAAUUAGUUUCUUAUACUAACUAAGUAAUCACUAUUGUUAUAACUUAUAAGGGAAAAGUUUAGAUAGAGCGAGGCUCUAAACAAAAAAAUUUAAGCCUACCUCAAAAAUUUCACUAGAAGAUGUUGUUUUGAAGUCCAUAUAUCUUCAAAUUGAUCAUCUCGACAUUAAGAUACAUGGACAUGAGAACAAAAUGGAUUGUAAGUUUUGAAAAUAGUGUAUUUUGUAAUGCACUUUUGGGCCGUCAAUUUUCAAGAUUUUUAAGUUUUCAUAGAUAUGUCGAUCUAUACUAUUUUUUUAAGAUUUAAACUUUAUAAAUAAAUAUGAAAAUAUAUUUUAAAGAUGUCACAAAGAUUUUUAAUAUUGAAACCACAUUUCUCGACACUAUUUGAAGGUUGGCUUUAAUUUAAUGUUAUAAUAUUAAAACUUUCGAUAUAUAUAAAUACUAUUAGUUGUAUUAAUAAUAUAAUUUUAAUACAUGUUCCAAAAAUAUAAAUAUUAUAAUAACCACAAAAUAAUUAAAUAUUAUGAUAAUUAUUUAUUAAUAGUAAGCAAAUCCUAACUUUAUUUAUAAAGAUGAAGUUUGAGAGUUAAGUUUGUGUUGUUUUAGAAAGUUUAUGCAUUGAGGAAAAUUUGAAUGUUAUUUUAGAAUGUAUGAGAAGGCUUAUGCAUAAAAAAUGAUAAUAUAAUGAUAUAUUAAUUUCUGACUUGAAUUAAUUGAUGGGAAAAUGAUUUAGGAAGUGGGGGAUAAUGAUUCUAAUACCUUCGAUAGGAUGUUGAUGGUCUAUUUAUAGAAUGGAGAGCUUAUAUUUCUUACCCUAUAAGUAACUCAAGAUCAAAGGUGUUCUAUUAAAUCUAACAUGAUGGGCAAGCCAAAGAAAAUACUAAAAAACCUUAAUCUUGUUUUGGCACUAUAAAAACAGGUUCUUUCCAUCUCUUCUUUAAAAACUCCCAAAGGGGGCACACCCCACUCUACGUUAUUUCUCUCUCUUAAAAAAGUUUUUUUUUUCUCUCUUGAAAGGUCCAAUGGGCGGUAGCCCCCACUCUCUCUCAUCUCAUGGUUUCUCUCUCAUGGUGUCUCUCAUCUUCUCUGAUCUCACAUUAGGGUUAAGGUCCAUAGGGUUGUAGUAGAUAGAGAAGUAUAUCUCUCAAACUAGGUUAUCAAGGGGGUUCACCGAAGGGUUUGAGAUUUGUGAUUAAAGGGUUCAUGUUUCAUUGGUGUGGCUUGUCCAAAUUUGUUUUUCCAGUUGAGAUUGAAGGUUGACUAUAAAAUCCCAUACUAUCGGAAGGUGGUGACUCGGUGUUAGAUGUAAGAAGCCCGGUUAAAGUAAUUUCCACACCCUUUUUUAUUUAUUGCAUAUUUAUUUAUUAUGUCUUUUAUUUCCAAUCAUAGGUUGUGUAUUUUCUUUGUUAUUAAAAGAAAUGUUUUUGAAUGACUUCAAGUUCUUGAGAUCUUAUUGUAUUAUUUUAUUUUAUUUUUAUUUAAAAUUAUUAUAUUAAAAAAAUACUACUUGUGAGUGAUCUAGGCUAUGAAGAAAAAAAAAAAAAUUAUAUAUUCCGACUAGAUUACACAAAUCCUUAAAAGGUUGAUUGAGCUAAAAACGUUCAAAAUAAGAUAUGAAAAACAUAGAAGAAAAGGGCAUUAUUGAUUAUUCACUGAGAUCAUUCCCAAAGAUUGUAAAAAAUAAUAAUCCACCCAUUAAAGUCAUUCUAUUUGAUUCCAUCGAUUACUAUCCUUUAAACAAAUCGACAAACAGAGUGCUAUUCACUGAGAUCAUUCCAAAGGAUUGUAAAAACCUUCCACCCAUUAAGGUCAUUUCAUUUGAUUCCAUCAACUACUGUCCUUUAAACAAACCGACAAACAGUCAUUCUAUAUCCGGAUAAUAAAAUGAGGUUUUUCUGUCAAUUUGGCUUUUAUUUUCGAAUAUAUGCACCUCAUCGACGGGUGAUAAGGAUCUAAAAGUCCGCAGAUCAAACAAUCCACCUAACCAAUUUUUUUUUUUUUUGGCGUACUAGCUAAAUGUAAAAAUCUAAUUUUGGAUUAGUGCCAUAAGUUGACGUUGGCCUUGCCGUAACAAUAAAUCUUUUGUUUUCAUGUAAUUUUGGAAGCAAAGCGAAGGUGGGAGAGAUCAAGACAAAAAGUGAAGAACAAAGGAUGUCAGUCCAAGACCCGGCCAAAAAUUGGUGAGCGAUAAAGGAGGGGAGGAAAGAGUGGGAGUCCCAUCAAGGGGACAUGAAAUGAUACUAUAAUAAACUGAC
rnacentral:lncRNA from 1 species